UUUAAUCGCUUCAAGUUUUUUAUGCAUAUAUCCUUGCACAUUGCAUUGCAUGACCAUUGUGGUCGCACCCUUUAAGUGGGAGUGAGAAACUAUUCCUUCGUGAUGUUUUCACCUCCGUGCAGGAUAGCGGAUCGCUUUCGGGAUACAUCCGUACCUAUGUCUUCGUGAGAUUUUCAUCUCCGUGCAGCCAUAGGGAAAUGUAUUCCCCUGAAUUGAACUUGGUCUGUAUGAGCCUAUAGUGGGCGAAGAUCAAGGAAUCUGUUGGUUCAGGUACCUUUACUCUAGAACUAAACUACAUAUAGAGUGACCUAGGAGCCCACCCUAGGUAAAGCCACUUUGAACCCCUAGUGGUCACCCAAAUUGCUUUAUUUGUUAUUUAUUUAUCCUGUACUAACGUGUUUUGUUUUUGUUUUGUUUAUAAUUGCAUUACAUUACAUCAUCAUAGGAAU
rnacentral:lncRNA from 1 species